GGAAUAUUGGACAAUGGGGGCAACCCUGAUCCAGCAAUGCCGCGUGUGUGAAGAAGGCCUGCGGGUUGUAAAGCACUUUCAGUGGGGAAGAAGGCUUAUAGGUUAAUAACCUAUAGGAUUGACACUACCCACAGAAGAAGCCCCGGCUAACCCUGUGCCAGCAGCCGCGGUAAUACAGAGGGUGCAAGCGUUAAGCGGAAUUACCGGGCGUAAAGGGUGCGUAGGUGGUUAGUUAAGUCAGAUGUGAAAGCCCCGGGCUUAACCUGGGAACUGCAUUUGGUACUGGCUAGCUAGAGUUUGGUAGAGGGAAGUGGAAUUUCCGGUGUAGCGGUGAAAUGCGUAGAUAUCGGAAGGAACACCAGUGGCGAAGGCGACUUCCUGGACCAUAACUGACACUGAGGCACGAAAGCGUGGGGAGCAAA
rnacentral:rRNA from 1 species